rnacentral:rRNA from 1 species
CCUACGGGGGGCAGCAGUGGGGAAUAUUGGACAAUGGGCGCAAGCCUGAUCCAGCAAUGCCGCGUGAGUGAUGAAGGCCUUCGGGUUGUAAAGCUCUUUUGCCAGGGACGAUGAUGACGGUACCUGGAGAAUAAGCCCCGGCUAACUUCGUGCCAGCAGCCGCGGUAAUACGAAGGGGGCAAGCGUUGUUCGGAAUUACUGGGCGUAAAGGGCGCGUAGGCGGCUUACCAAGUCAGGCGUGAAAUUCCCGGGCUCAACCUGGGGGCUGCGCUUGAUACUGGUAGGCUUGAAUGCGGGAGAGGAUAGUGGAAUUCCCAGUGUAGAGGUGAAAUUCGUAGAUAUUGGGAAGAACACCGGUGGCGAAGGCGGCUAUCUGGCCCGUGAUUGACGCUGAGGCGCGAAAGCGUGGGGAGCAAACAGGAUUAGAUACCCUGGUAGU